rnacentral:tRNA from 1 species
GCCCAGGUGGUGGAAUCGGUAGACACAAGGGAUUUAAAAUCCCUCGGCGUUCGCGCUGUGCGGGUUCAAGUCCCGCCCUGGGCA